AUACUUACCUGGCAGGCAGGGAGAUACCAUGAUCAUGAAGGUGGUUCACCCAGGGCGAGGCUCAGCCAUUGCACUUCGGUUGUGCUGACCAUCGAAUUCCCCAAAUGUGGGAAUCUCGACUGCAUAAUUUGUGGUAGUGGGGGACUGCGUCGCUCUCCCCUG